rnacentral:rRNA from 1 species
CAGUCGCCGCGGUAAUACGUAGGUGGCAAGCGUUGUCCGGAAUUAUUGGGCGUAAAGCGCGCGCAGGCGGAUCAGUCAGUCUGUCUUAAAAGUUCGGGGCUUAACCCCGUGAUGGGAUGGAAACUGCUGAUCUAGAGUAUCGGAGAGGAAAGUGGAAUUCCUAGUGUAGCGGUGAAAUGCGUAGAUAUUAGGAAGAACACCAGUGGCGAAGGCGACUUUCUGGACGAAAACUGACGCUGAGGCGCGAAAGCCAGGGGAGCGAACGGGAUUAGAUACCCCGGUAGUCCCUGUCUCUUAUACA